rnacentral:lncRNA from 1 species
GAAAGUGUAGGUCCAUGUACUAGCCAAAGCUCCUAGAAUAGGUGACACCAUAUAUAUCCAUAUUCCUCUAUAUUCAUGGUGCACAAUAGCUGGUCCUAAGCUUCUUGCUGGAUUCAUUGAUGCUCCUGUGAUGGGUCUGUCAAAUAUAUUUUCACUCACAAGUUAGAUUUUAUUUUAACCUUUCUCAUAAUAACAUGUCACGUAUUAUUUUUAUAUAUUCUUGGUGCAAAGCAUGCAUUUUAUGAUAUAAUAUUUGGUAAGGUUUUGAGAUCUAUACCCUGCAAACAACACAUUUAGCAUGACUGUAGAUCCAACUGCAAGUCCAGCCAAUUCACCAAUCUGAAGCAAUAAAUAAAAACUAUCAGACAAAGGUUAAAUGAUAUUUAAGUAAUUAUGGAAUGGGCCUCAUGACUGAUUUAAAGCUAACAUUUAUUGAAGUGAUUUUAACAUUAUAAAUAUGUUUAUACAUCUUGUCAAUGACCUUUUUAUUGUUGUUGAAAGAAAUAGUCAAUUAACUUGAGUCACAAUUAUAUCUUAAUCAAAAUGAUCAAUAGAAAUAUAAUUAUCAAUUACUAUUAUCAACCAAGCAUUUAAAAAAGAAAAAAAAUUACCGCUCUAUUAUCGGUGGCAACUCCAGAAAUGACGAACAUAAGGUAGAAAGUGAUAAUAAAUUCGACCACAAAAGCUUGAUGGUCCAAACCAGCCGGAAGUGUUCCUGCAAAUUGAUUUUCCUUGCCACUGAAUAUGAGUUUGAGAGCUUCACUUGCAAGUGUUGAGCCAGCGACCUGAGCAAUUAUAUAAGCUGGUACCUACAGGAAAGAAUUAAAUAAAAAUUAAUAAUAUUUUGGACUGCACAAACGGUUGUCCUCGCCAACUAAUGCUUCGAACAUAGGCCCAAAUAACGGUGUACCAACUAUUUCCUUCUUCACAUAGGUAAUAGGUUGAAACUUGCUUUGGUCCAUACUCUUCACACCGCCCAUUUUGUUACUACAUCGAGCAAACGUUCAUCUCUCCUAAGUCUGUAACGCCUCCUUGCAUGCAAUAAAGGCUCGAUGUUAGAAGGUUACAAACACCGCCAUCUGUAACCGUCGGCCAACAGCUCUCCAAAUAUUACUCUAAGCAUUUAUAUAAGAGGACUUCUAGUGUCGUCCUAGGUACGUUCUUCUAACCCCAAAACUUUAAACUCUUAGCUCUCAUGCUGACUUGAACGCCAAUGUGUCUUUUGCAGGUACCUCUGCCGUUUCAACAACCUACAUUCUCGUAGGACGCCGUUCUUCUAACCACCUCCGCUCAAAUAACUUAAGAGAGAAACUUAUGUUUGUCUUAAUAUGAAUUAUAGUGCUUGUGUUUUGUAAUUUACCUGC